AGGUAACUCCUGCACUGCAUGUUAGUCAAAUGAGUGCUAAAUUUUCAAAACGCUUUUAGACCAAGUUCAACGUACCGAUUAAACUUAUUGUUAGUAGAUAUGUAUUCAAGCAUAUUUUAUUAACGUGAAAAAAUAUUUAAAAUGAUAGUUUUGCAAAAUUAUCAACUGCGAUAUAGAUGCAAAUUUGCAUGAUGACAUAUUUUCACAGUCCGAGAAUCGCUGGUUGGCUCUGUGAAUGACUCAAAUCAUUCGAAUUGCGCCAUCGAUUGCUUCAAUUACUUACGAGCGAGCGUAAACCUAUCAAAUCACGUUCAUUUCGAAGCGAUAAGUGAUAAGAAAUUUACGCGAAUUUGGG